CUCUUGUUUGUUCACGGUGGGUAAAGUUUAGUGAUCAAAGUGCAUA
rnacentral:tRNA from 1 species